UCAGAGGCAGAACACAGGGACAGUGGAGAGAGAUCCGUUGCUGAGGAUGCUUCCUACGCCCAUGCUUCAUACUAUCUGCACAAACGACAUAUCAUCUGAAAGCUGAGAUUCCACAGAUUCCAUUGGUAUAAGUCUCAUCAUUGCACGACCAGAACUCACUGAGCGAGCAGCCAGAACAGAACAAGAAAACAUCAGUUUUCAAAACCAUAACAAUAAUUAUGUCUUACCUUUGCUGUUUUGUGAUCAAAAAUUGUGUUCAAGGGAAUAAAAACGCUGCUCAAGGUUAAUCCAAUGUCUCUGUCACUUUAAAAUGAUUACUGAUAAUCCGUUCUUCCAUUUUUGUCCAAAACUGAGAUUUCAUAUGCAUGCUUGUGAGAGCUACAACCCAGCUUUCGGUUUUGGGCGUGCUGGCAUGCAUUCACCAAUGGUAAUGUUCAGAUGGAUUUUUAGGAACUUCCCCUCGAUUCCAUUGGCUCCAACGGUUCAAAAGAGGUGUCAAUCAUCAAAAUCGACUGAGGGGGGCCAGAGAUAUGGCAAAUCCACCCAGAAGUGGUUUUUCUUUUGCUAAACCUCUCUAAAAAGGUCAAAUGUCGCUUGUUUUGCAUCAAUACAGGGUACUUAUGUUAUAAUUUGGAUUCCUAAAGCUUUUAGUCUCCGAUCCCAUCAUUCAAGGGUGGUUUUCACUAUAAGUAAUGGUUUCUUUUUGGACUGACACUAUAAUCUACAUUUCUUUACUAUGUUCAAUCUGAAUUUACUUUAAAAUAAAAAAAUUCUAUAUUGA